GUCGUAACAAGGUUUCCGUAGGUGAACCUGCGGAAGGAUCAUUACUGAGUGCGGGCUGCCUCCGGGCGCCCAACCUCCCACCCGUGACUACCUAACACUGUUGCUUCGGCGGGGAGCCCUCUCGGGGGCGAGCCGCCGGGGACUACUGAACUUCAUGCCUGAGAGUGAUGCAGUCUGAGUCUGAAUAUAAAAUCAGUCAAAACUUUCAACAAUGGAUCUCUUGGUUCCGGCAUCGAUGAAGAACGCAGCGAACUGCGAUAAGUAAUGUGAAUUGCAGAAUUCAGUGAAUCAUCGAGUCUUUGAACGCACAUUGCGCCCCCUGGCAUUCCGGGGGGCAUGCCUGUCCGAGCGUCAUUGCUGCCCAUCAAGCCCGGCUUGUGUGUUGGGUCGUCGUCCCCCCCGGGGGACGGGCCCGAAAGGCAGCGGCGGCACCGUGUCCGGUCCUCGAGCGUAUGGGGCUUUGUCACCCGCUCGAUUUAGGGCCGGCCGGGCGCCAGCCGACGUCCAACCAUUUUUCUUCAGGUUGACCUCGGAUCAGGUAGGGAUACCCGCUGAACUUAAGCAUAUCAAU
rnacentral:misc_RNA from 1 species